rnacentral:lncRNA from 1 species
GUACAUAUAUUCUGGCUUGGCUAAACUGUUCAACUACACUCCUUGUCUUUUUACUAAUACAUUCUACCUAGAAGCACUAAGCCACUAACCAUGCACUCUCUCCAUUUCUUCAAAGAAAGGUGAUAUCAGAGCUUCUUUUGACGGAAAUGAUAUUCCAACAACUUUCGGAGAACCCAAAGGUAAAGGGAAUUACUACUAAUAAGUUUUAAAGAUUUUGCAUAAGUUAUAUGCUAAAUUGUUUAUGUGAGUAAAUAACUUUAUCUGUGAGAGUUAAUUGAGGAACCACUGAAUGACGUUUGGGAAAUUAAUAUGGCAUCCCAAACGUUGUACUUCACCAAACUUGUUUGUAUUACUAUGGGACUUGGUGGUCAGCCGUUUAGAUCUAUUGUUACUCAUAAGACCAUAGAGAUGAUUUUACCAUUACAGGGGUUGUACUUAGAUCUUCAUGACAUGGGUGUUGUUCCACAUGAACCAGUAGGACCAGAGCCACAUGAGCCUUUUGUUCACAUGUUGAUGAUCCCGCUGGAGUUGUUGAGCAUGGAGCAGGAGGAGGCAUUGUACCUGAGGAGGACGAGGCAGAGAAGGAUCCAGAUGAGUACCUUGAGGAUGGAGUGUUCAUUGGGGGAAAACCCUAAUGACCAUGUUUAGAUUUGACUUCUUCCAUGUGGGAAAGAGUUUAAGAGUGUUAAUUUGUUUGUUGUGUACUUAAUGUCUCUUAAAACUCUAUUUUUAUUUAUUAAUGGUAGCCAGUCUUGGUGAUAUAGUAUGACUGAUGUAGCAUGACUGAUGUAGUAUGACUGAUGCAAUAUGACUCUAGUUAGAUGGUAACUAUGUUUGCUCAUAUUAGGUUUCAUAAAGACUUAUGGAUCACUGUAAAAUAUUUGCUAUGAUGAGUAUUAUGAGCCUCAGGCUUAGACCAAAUGAUAUAUAUAUAUUAUGACUUAUGUGUGCUAUUUAUAUUUUGUAUUUAUUUAGUAGAAAUUCCUUUAAGAAAAU